AACGGCCAUACCAUGCUGAAUAUACCGGUUCUCGUUAGAUCACCGAAGUCAAGCAUCAUUGGGCGCGGUCAGUACUUGGGUGGGUGACCACCUGGGAACACCGCGUGC